AGUGAACGCUGGCGGUAGGCCUAACACAUGCAAGUCGAACGGCAGCACAGUAAGAGCUUGCUCUUACGGGUGGCGAGUGGCGGACGGGUGAGGAAUACAUCGGAAUCUACUUUUUCGUGGGGGAUAACGUAGGGAAACUUACGCUAAUACCGCAUACGACCUACGGGUGAAAGCAGGGGAUCUUCGGACCUUGCGCGAUUGAAUGAGCCGAUGUCGGAUUAGCUAGUUGGCGGGGUAAAGGCCCACCAAGGCGACGAUCCGUAGCUGGUCUGAGGGGAUGAUCAGCCACACUGGAACUGAGACACGGUCCAGACUCCUACGGGAGGCAGCAGUGGGGAAUAUUGGACAAUGGGCGCAAGCCUGAUCCAGCCAUACCGCGUGGGUGAAGAAGGCCUGCGGGUUGUAAAGCCCUUUUGUUGGGAAAGAAAAGCAGCAGGUUAAUACCCCGCUGUUCUGACGGUACCCAAAGAAUAAGCACCGGCUAACUUCGU
rnacentral:rRNA from 1 species